GAUGAACGCUGGCGGCGUGCCUAAUACAUGCAAGUCGAGCGAACGGACGAGAAGCUUGCUUCUCUGAUGUUAGCGGCGGACGGGUGAGUAACACGUGGAUAACCUACCUAUAAGACUGGGAUAACUUCGGGAAACCGGAGCUAAUACCGGAUGAUAUUUUGAACCGCAUGGUUCAAAAGUGAAAGACGGUCUUGCUGUCACUUAUAGAUGGAUCCGCGCUGCAUUAGCUAGUUGGUAAGGUAACGGCUUACCAAGGCAACGAUGCAUAGCCGACAUGAGAGGGUGAUCGGCCACACUGGAACUGAGACACGGUCCAGACUCCUACGGGAGGCAGCAGUAGGGAAUCUUCCGCAAAGGGCGAAAGCCUGACGGAGCAACGCCGCGUGAGUGAUGAAGGUCUUCGGAUCGUAAAACUCUGUUAUUAGGGAAGAACAUAUGUGUAAGUAACUGUGCACAUCUUGACGGUACCUAAUCAGAAAGCCACGGCUAACUACGUG
rnacentral:rRNA from 1 species